CCUACGGGUGGCAGCAGUCGAGAAUCAUUCACAAUGGGGGAAACCCUGAUGGUGCGACGCCGCGUGGGGGAAUGAAGGUCUUCGGAUUGUAAACCCCUGUCAUGUGGGCGCAAAUUAAAAAGAUAGUACCACAAGAGGAAGAGACGGCUAACUCUGUGCCAGCAGCCGCGGUAAUACAGAGGUCUCAAGCGUUGUUCGGAAUCACUGGGCGGAAAGCGUGCGUAGGCUGUUUCGUAAGUCGUGUGUGAAAGGCGCGGGCUCAACCCGCGGACGGCACAUGAUACUGCGAGACUAGAGUAAUGGAGGGGGAACCGGAAUUCUCGGUGUAGCAGUGAAAUGCGUAGAUAUCGAGAGGAACACUCGUGGCGAAGGCGGGUUCCUGGACAUUAACUGACGCUGAGGCACGAAGGCCAGGGGAGCGAAAGGGAUUAGAUACCCCAGUAGUC
rnacentral:rRNA from 1 species